UACGUAGGGUGCAAGCGUUGUCCGGAAUUAUUGGGCGUAAAGAGCUCGUAGGCGGUUUGUCGCGUCGAAUGUGAAAACCCGGGGCUCAACUCCGGGCCUGCAUUCGAUACGGGCAGACUAGAGUUCGGUAGGGGAGACUGGAAUUCCUGGUGUAGCGGUGAAAUGCGCAGAUAUCAGGAGGAACACCGGUGGCGAAGGCGGGUCUCGUGGGCCGAUGACUGACGCUGGAGGAGCGAAAGCGUGGGGAGCGAACAGGA
rnacentral:rRNA from 1 species